rnacentral:lncRNA from 1 species
UUAGCUUCACGCCUCCUCUGAAGAUGGAUCUUUUCUUUUUCAACCGUGAGUUCCACCGCCUUCUUCUUUGGAUCAUCAACCAGGUGCCAUCUUCUUCAGUAUAAAUAUUAUUACAACCUUAGUUGAAUUAUAUUCCAUUCAAGACAUCAUGAUUUAUUUUCCUUAAUUCUAUUUUAUGAUUAUAUGGACUAAAACGAUCGGCCGAUGAUGCCUACCAGUACGUGUGGUUGUACUGACCCUACUCUUCUACAUACCUUCUUGGGAUGUAGAUUGGAUGCAUGUUAGUUUGCAGUUACUAGAUGGAUGAUGAUAUUCAGCACUAACUUUUGAACUUUCAUCCUGGUAGAUGUUAGAGUCUUUGUAUUAUUUAUUUUAUUGUCUGUCUAUGCUGUAGUAGAUAACUCUUGUACAUAUCUGACGAAGUCUUGGGAUAGUGAAGGACACUUGUAAGAAGUUUUAUUAAAAAAAAUUAUUUAUUAAUAUUUAAUUUACCUUAUUAUGUUUAAUCCAGUAUUCCCUUAAAACAGAAGUCUUCCACAUAUUUUUAGUUAGGUAAUAAAGGUUCUCCUAGCUGCUUAGAAUAGCGUAGAUGUCCGUACGGUCCAGUAGUUUGGAUCGUGGCAUUUUACUUCUUGAUGAAAAUAAAAUAGAAAAAAGCAACAACUAUUAUCAAACGAAUAAUUACUAAAAAGUACAUUCAAAAGGAAGAUAAAUUUAGGAAGUCAUUUAUUAAUAAGCAAUAAUGAAGCCUCUUUUGUAUUACUCAUAUGAUGUAUUUUCUCGAUAGAGUAUCAAAUACACACUAUCAACAUUAAUAAAUUAUAAAAAAAUAAUUUAUUAGAUAAUUAUAUGACAACACACAAUCGAAAAUUGCUACUUUUUUCUGGAAUAAAACAUCAAUAACAUGAAACAUCCUUAAAUUAACAUAACCCUUAAACACAUCUAAAGUCCAGACCAAUAAAUUGAGGCCCUCAACAUUCAACCCUUCCAUCAAUUCCUCAAACAAAUUCAAAAUUUCAAAAAUUAAACUUGUCAAGAAAUGGACCUUGGACCUAACUCAACCUCAAAAGCUAGCUCAUGAGGGGAGAAUUUCCCAAAUCCAUAUGAGGAGACCAAUUACCCAUUCAUUUUUCAAUGUGGGAUACUUAACACUUACUCGCACACUCAGACCUCGUUAACUGGAGCAUGAAAAACAUAAUAUGGGGCCCAACAUUGGUGAAUAAAGAUUUGAGAUGGGCCUGACUCUUAUACCUGUGGGAAAUAUAGGUUAAGAAUAUUAUUGAAUUGUUGUAAUUACAUUAUUACAUUGAGGCUCUAUUUAUAGACACUACAUUUCAAUUCUUUUCCUAAUAGGACACUACAUUACAAUCCCUUUCCAAGUAGGAUUCUAUAUGAUAUUCCUAUUUCUAUUCAUAUUCUAACAAAAUCCUUCUAUCUUAAAUUAAUAGCCUCAAAAAACUAAAGAAUUCCAUUUCAUAUUCAUACCCCCAAUGAUAAAAUAUUAUUAUUAAAGAGAUACAAGUUUAAAUAUUAUAUUUAAAUUCACUUUCUUUUAAUUGACAAAAAAUAAUAAAGCAACAUUAGGAUCCUCCCUUAAGCUAUUCAGCAUUUCAGUAACUCAAUAUGAGUUCACCUCAACGUAUUGUUGGUAAACUUAAUAUUAUUCAUCUAGGUGUUUAUAAUUUGUUAGUUAGAACUAGAAUCUAACAAAAAAAUAUAAAUAAAAAUAUUUUGAUAGUAUUCCAAAAUGAUUGGCACACUUUAAAUCACCGAUUUUAGUAUAAAAACAACUGUACUCAAAUUGUGAAAAUAAGGGUAGAAAAAGCAAAAAAUGAUGAAAGAAAUAGACUUCAUAGAAGUACUAACCUCGUAUAGAAGAGCAAACAAUAUUGGAUUAGGUGGAAGGAAGAAGAAGAUGCGGUGAAAAGCAUCCUUUAUUUUUCAAGGCUAAGUAUAAGAAAAGAAAGAGGCAAAGUGCAGAAUAGAGAGGUAAAGUACGUUGAGAAAUGACUUGAAAAAAAUAUUCUAGCAGGAAUUUGAGGGGUAAUUUUAUCAUUUAAUAAGUUAAUGCUUGUAUUGAAAUAAUUUGUAUUAUUAAUACAUAAAAAAAAAUGGUGUGAAUAAUACAUAGCUUAAUGCACAAUAGAGUGUUUUACCACCAAUGCAAACUUUAGUUAUACAUAGGCACCAAAAAAGUACUAAACAAGAUACUAGUAGUACACAAGAGUAAUUCAUGCAGUGACAGAGCCAAAAUUUUCAUUGAGGGUUUCAAAUCAUAAAAAAUAAACAUACAAAAAAAAAUAAACUUAACUACUAAAAAACAACAGAAUACAUCAUCACAACCAUACUCGACGAGACUUGAGAUGUUUUUGCAAUAGAAUUAUUCAAAAUAUUAAUAGAUACGUCUUUUCUACAUAAGGCAUCAAGCAACCACUCAAAAAUUCAUCAUUCAUAUAAUUUCUCAAAACAUUCUUAAUAAAUCAGUAUAGAAAAGACUCUUUCAAAUGAUGCAGUAACAACCGGUAAAAGCAAAAUAAAUUUUACUAAGCGAAAUACAAGAGAAAAUUUAAGUGCUUUUUGUCUUAACUAGUUUUCUUGAGAGAAACAAAUUCCAUGUAAUUAGAUAACCUUUCAUCAACAUCACGAACAUCAAUAUUAUAACCAGCAAGUUGAUUCUCAAGAGAACUCAUACUAAACCUAUUAAAAUCAUCAGGAUAUAAUUUUGCCAUUCUCAUUAUCUUCCUAAUAUUAAAAUUAGGAAAUGGAUCACUUAAAUUCAAACAAGCAACUCCAUGAAGCAAAUUAAUAGCCACCUCAUUGAAAUGAUCAUUGAGUUUCUGAAGUUUCCAAUCAAUAAUUUUCAAAAUACUUCAGCAUAAUAAAAAUGUAAGAUGGUAUAAUCAACAGGUCUAUGUCGUGAUUUUUCAAAAUUAACACAUUAUAGGUGCAUUUUAAUAGUAUAAAAUAUUAUAUGCAUCAAAUUUAAUUUUCAUUUGAAUAUUAUUGGUCGUUGCACUUCUUCUUUAAUAUUAGUGUCUCAUUAGCCAUUAUGGCCUAUGUUUAAUGUUUGCAGUAAUACACCUAACAUGUGCCUCAUUUGUGCAAUAGUUUUACUAACAUUCUUUAUGGCAUAUUACAUUUACUCCCUCACUUAAAUGGGUUUAAAGAGCAUGAAUGUGAAUUCUUCUUAUGACUGAUAUGGCUAUUAUCUUGUUGUAAGUCUCAUAGUUAUUAGUGUCAUUAGUUUCUUGUAAUAAAUUUUGUAACCUAAGACUAUUGAUCUUUCCUCUUUACUAUCCUUUACUCAUUCUAAUUCGUUAUAAACAUGAAAUAGAGUGCACAAAAGAGAGUAAUUAUAUUAGUGAAAGAGAGAGUUAUGACAAAGAAAGAUAUUUUAAAUCUACUACUAUAUUCACUAUAUAAAAGAGAAUUUUAAUAUGUUGAAGGAAGAUAUGUUUGUGGUGAAGCUUUGAACUCUUUAACUAAUUCAGAGAUACUUGAAUUAUACAUCGUAAUGGGCUGUUGUAUUCUAAGAUACUAUUGGAUUGGUGUAGAUUAUGCCGCAGUAGGCUUGAAUCUCCUUAAAGAGAAUGAGAUAUUCAUGCCUUAGCCUGAAUAUUUAUUUAUUAUUUUUAUUUAAUUUAUUUUUAACUCUAAUUAUUAUAAUUUGGGUAUAUCACAUCAACACAUAUGACUCAUUCAAACAGGUUAUUAAAAUUUUAUAUUUGAUACAAAAUGUAGAUACCUUACCAAUAAGUGCAUCCCAUCCAUCAUCCAUUCGCGUUUACAACCUUCCCUUUGCCAACUAUUAGCAUAUAUAGCAUUUACAAUGUCCUUGUAAGAAUUUAUUAAGCUCAUUUAUGAUUUUUGAGAUAUCUUUCAUAAAGUGCAGUAUAAAGCAAUCGUAAAUAUUUGACAAGCUUAGAGAAAUUUCAUCGUCUUAGCUCUUUUAUAUGUAGAAUAUGCAUCAAUAGCAAGUUCAUAAAGAACAUCAAUAAUAGAGUCAAACAUAAGAAUAAAAUUUCUAAACGAUUUGUGAUGAGAUUUCCAGCGAGAAUCAUUAGUUCUUAUAAGAUCAAAUCUUGAUGCCAUAUCUAAUGUCUCUUGAAUUAUUCCUUUUUAAGAAUCUCAAAAUUCAUUCAUAUUCUUAAAAGAAGCUCCCAACACAUUCAAAAUAUUUGAAACCAAUAAUACAAGGUCCCCACUUGAAUAUAUUUUUUAGAAACGACAAUCAGAGUUAGUUGAAGUUGAUGAGUAAAAUAAUGAAUAAAAUAAGCUAAGAUGUUUUCUUGCCUAAUCAAUAAUUUAAGGUCAUUCAUCUCACAUGUAUAUUGUUAUAUCGGGUUUAAAAAUCCAUAUGUUUCAACUCAAACUUCAAUACUAAGCUCAAGAAUAACUUUUAAGAACUACAGUGAAGUUAUAACAACUUCAAACACAAGUCCACAUGAAUAAUCAAAUAAACUAUCAAAAUGAAGUGUUUAUCAAAUUUAAGGAAAAAGAUGAAGCAAAAAAUUGUAGAAUCCAAGUCCACCGAAUGCACGGUGUGUCCUUAAGAAAAUUAUUUCCCCCAAGUACAUGAGGUUAUCGAAUAUAUCCUCCCAGGAUAAAAUGAAUCACUUCGACAGAAUAGAGGUACCUCAAAUUCUAUCGAACUAUGAAUGGACUCAAUGGAAGCAAAUCAAACAUAAGUUUUAUCAAGAAAGAGGAGCAUUUAUUCUUCAAAAUUUCACGUCUGUACUUGAUGAAAAAUUCAAGUAUUUAUAGCCAUCAAGGUGUAGUUUCAUGAAGAGAAGCUGUAAUACCCCGUAUUUCCCUAGCUUUAUUUAACUCUCAGUACAUGAGUUAUCCUAUAUAAUUUUUCUAAAUACUCAGUAUUUUUUAGUUUAAAGCUUACCACUGUGUAGGAAAUUUAGUCAGUUUUCCAAUGAUAUAAAUUUCUCCAAAUCCUAUAUUCGGGCGAAGAGUUAUAGCAUAUUUUGUAAAACAGUGUGCCAAAUUGGCAAUCAGCGCAUCGCGGAGGUAGUCCAAAUGGAUUGUCAUUUUCCACUGUUCCAUCGCGAUCCCACCAUGUCACACCACCAUCCAUUUUCCCAAUUUUCACUUUCCAGUGUGACUCCGCGAUCAUGGCGUGUCGCGCCAAGGGGUAAAUUCGCAUAUAGUGAAGCUCUGCGAUUGUAUCGCAUCGCGCCAAGCUCCUAGUUCCCAAUUGUCAAUUUCCAGUGACAUGGUGUUAUAGCAUCGCAUCGCACCAGGGGCUUUUUUCAGAAAAUUUUGAUGAAAAUUAAAAGUUUUGUCUAGGGUUAAACUAGUCUUUUCCAUGAUUUUAAUACACCCAAAUAUGGAAUUUAAUCCCUAAAAAUAUUUUAAGCCUAUUCUUUAUUAACUUUUCCCCAAAAUCAACAAGCUCUCUCUCAAUUAGCAAACCUUAAUCUUUAAGAAAUCAAGAGCAAUCCUCAAGAAAAUCACCAAGAGCUUCAAGAAUUAAAAUACCCAGGUAUGUUAGGUGUUCAUCUAUGUUUUCUUUUCACCCAUAGAGUCCUAGAAUCCAUUUUUAAAACUACAAGAUUAUUGAUUCAUGAUUUACAUGCUUGAAGUCGGAUUAUAUUCAUGUUCAUGACAUUAAUUGAGUUUCAAUCCAAGAUUAAUUGUAUAUUCCAUAAAAUUAAAAUAGCAUAUAUAUUGAAUUGUGUAAUACCCAUGUUAUAAUCCUUGAAUUUGUAAGUUUGGGUGUUGUACUUACAAUGUUUACAUGUUGUCCAUGAUUUUAUGCAUUAAGUUGUGCUCCCCAUGUGUUUGAUGGAAUGUCCAUGUGAAUUAAAUGGUGAAAUCAUGACAUGCUAGCAUAUGUAUAAGCUUAUGCCCUACAAGUGUUUGAUAAAAGGUCUCUAUGAAUGAAUUAUAAACAAGUGGACAUUGUUAUGCUUUUCAAGAUUAUGUUAUUCUUUACUUUUCAUGCUAUUGAGUCCUGGGGGUAUUUAAUACCCAAAAAUCUAGUUGUUUAACUAGAGCUACAGUAGUUAUAGAGUAAUCUCAGUCAUGUCACGAAACAGUAGUACUCAGUCAGAACUCAGCGAACUCAGUCCAGUUCAGUCAGUCAGUCAACAUGAUCAGUAAUACUAUAGUAAAAUCCAAUAUAGUCUAGCAAUCAGUCCAUGGUCUAUUCAGUUGGGAGUAGGAUUCAAUACCGAGUAAAUCCAAAGAUGGGGGAUCACCUGCUAGUAGAGGGUGUGAUCCUUAGAUGCAGUCCUUGCAUUCCCAAACUAUGUAGCCAGCGUAGAUUGAGACAUCAACCUGCCAGUUGAGGGUUGAUGAGUUGUUUUAACCUGCCAGUUGAGGGUUCCAUUAUUCUCAUUCGAGUACCUGCUAGAUAAGGGUAACUCUUCAGCUUGUCUGUACCCGUGUCACGGUACUAAUACCCUUCCAACUGAGGUUACAGGUUGGGCCCCAGUUAUUAUAUUUGGGGUAUGUCGGUCAGAUGAUUACCUCCCACAGUCUCAAUUUUAGUCUUAGUAUAUAACUCAGUUCAGUUCUACAGAAUCAGGACUGUCAGAUACAGUCACUCAGCUAUCAGUAAUUCAGUUAUUAGUAAUCUCAGAUAUCAGUUACUUAGUUAUCAAAAAUUAGUACUUAGCUUCAACAAAGGCUCAGAUAUAGUAUAUACGUAUAUGCAUAGUAUUGCAUACUCAGUAUUUACAGUAGUUUUAGUUAUCCAUGUACUCUUAUAUUCAGUUACUCUAUAUCAUUCAGUAAGUUAUUGUUUAUGCAAAUGAACCCUUGCAUUUAACUUUACCUCAUAUAGCAUACCAUUACAUUCCAUGUACUAAUGCAUACUCUUUUCUUGCGUUAUGAUGUGUCAUAUCAUAGGUUAGGACGCUCAGGUUCCUAAUCGUACAUAGAUAGCAACAGUUUUAGUAGCGAGUCCCCAUCUAUCGAGGAUAUGCAUUUACUUCAGUAUUUUUAAUAGCUUCAAUAUUUCUGUAGUCAGAGUUAGUUGGGGGCUUGUCCCAUAAACUCCACAUUCAGACAAUUCAGUUAAAGAAUUUUCAGACUAAACUAGUUUAGACAAUAUUUCAGAUUCAGAUAUUUUAUCAAAUACUAUUAUUUAUCAGUAUUCAGAUUGUGAACCUUAUGGCAUUUUAGCCUAUUAUUCUGCAGUAUUUCAGUAUUAAUAUUUAGUGCUUACAGUAUUACCAGUCAUGGGUUAGCUUAUGGUACUUCGAGGUCAUAAGCAUCAUGUGUCAUUCGGGGUAUAAACUCGAGGCGUUACAAAUUUGGUAUCAAAGCCAAAAGUUCAACAGAGUCCUAGGGAUUCUAAAAGCCACGUCUAGUAGAGUCUUGUGCAUGGAUAUGUAGCGAGCCACACUUAUGGGCACGAGGAUAUGAGACAUUUUUAGGAAAAUUUUCCCUUCUUUCAGUAUUCAUGUCGUGUGAGUGAGCAUGAGCUCUAGUUAAACUCUCAGUCUAAUCCUUUUCUUCCUUCUAUUUAUAGAACAUGCCUCCUAAAAAGACUAACGAAAGAAGAAUAGGAAACCAGUCAGCACCUCAGCUCAUUCAGGCAGAUCCCCUGGGCGUGCAUGUCUCCCAAGCAGAAUUCAAAGUUGCAUUUACUACUCUAGCCAAUUCCAUAGUAGCUCAGAAAAAAUGGCCAACUUCUUUUCAGGCCAAACCAGUGGCCAAUACUACUGCAGCUAAGAUUUGGGACUUCACCCGAAUGAAUCCUCCCCUGUUCUCAGGAUCUAAGACAAAAGAGGAUCCACAAGAGUUCUUCGAUCAGGUUUAAGAAGUUACAGAUAUCAUGGGAGUGACUUCCAAUGAGAGUGCUGAGUUAGCUGCCUAUCGAAUACAAGAUGUAGCUUAUACAUGGUUUAAGUAGUGGAAGGUAGACAGGGGCACAAAUGCAGAGCCCAUGGAGUGGGAAGAUUUUGCUACUGCUUUUCUAGAUAGAUUCUUUCCCUUAGAGCUGAGAGAAGCCAAGGUGUUAGAGUUCAUCAAUAUCAGGCAAGGUAGCAUGAGUGUGAAAGAGUAUUCCAUCAAGUUUAUUCAGUUAGCUAGGUAUGCUUCCCAUGAAGUAGCAGACAGUAGGAAAACAAUGAUGAAGUUCGUAUAUGGGGCAUCAGAAAGUGUGGUUAAGGAGUGCAGAAUAGCAAUAUUAAUUAAAGAGAUGGAUAUAUCCAGGCUUAUUGUCAUACAUAGGAAAUAGAAGAGGCUAAGAAUAAAGAGAGAGAGAGAGAGAGAGGGAAAAUAAGAGAUCUAGAGAAAGUAGCUUUAAUUUUACUCGACCUAAGUCAAAAAGCGGUAAUCGUUCCUAGUUCCAUCCAAAGUCUUUAGUUCUAGCUCCGUCUUCAUCUAGUGCUCCAGUACUUAAGUUCAAAAAUGGUAAUAAAGAUAGGGCACCAGGCUCUAAAUCUCAGGGUAGUGUCAGUAGUGCUCGAACAAAUCCUAUUUGUCAGAAAUGUGGUAGAAACCAUCAGGGCGUCUGUCUAGAUGGCAGUGAUAUUUUUUUUGGGUAUGGCAAUCCAGGACAUAAAAUCAGAGAUUAUCCUAAGUCAAGUUCUCAGGGUUAGUAUAAUCGUCCUUCAGCUUAGUCUGGUCACCUGAAUCAGCAGGGUGACACUUCUAGUGUUAACAAUGGGCAUCACCCAAAUAGGCUUAUGCACUUUAGUCUCGACAAGAUCAAAAAAUUUCUCCUAAUAUGGUCACUAGUAUGUUACAGAUCUUUCAUUUAUAAUUUCUUGCCUUAUUAGAUCUAGGAGCUUCUUUUUCUUUUGAAACUCCUUACAUAGCAGUCAACUUCAAGGUCAAACCAUAAAUCUUAAUAGAACCUUUCUCAGUCUCUACCCCAAUGGGUUAGUCUCAGAGAGUUACUUCAGCAGACUUAGUAGAGUUAUAGAUAACAGAUGUUGAAGUCAUUCUUGGCAUGGAUUGGAUCUAUUCAUGUUAUGCCACAGUUGAUUGUAGAAAUAGAAUUUUUUAUUUUUAGUUUCCAAAUAAACCAGUCCUUGAAUGGAGGGGUAGUACUACAACGCUUAAGGGUCAGUUAAUUCCAUACCUUAGAGCGAGAAGACUAAUAUCCAAGGGAUGUGUCUAUCAUCUUGUGAAAGUCAAAUACUCUAGUUCAGAGACUCCUAGUCUUGAGUUAUUUCUAGUAGUAAAUGAAUUCUCAGAUGUGUUUCCCAAAGAUUUUCCUGGAGUUCCUCCUAAAAGGAAAAUUGACUUUGGAAUAGACCUUAUUCCAGAUACUCAGCCUAUAUCUAUCCCACCAUACAGAAUGGCUUCAACUAAACUCAGAGAAUUAAAAGAACAGUUAAAGGUCUCAGAAUGUGUAUAGACUACUGUCAGUUGAAAAAAGUCAUAGUCAAGAAUAAAUACCCACUUCCUAGAAUUGAUGACUUGUUCGACCCACUUCAGGGUGCUAAUUAAUUUUCUCAGAUAGACCUUAGAUCCAACUAUCAUCAACUCAGAGUCAGAGAAUGUGACAUUCUGAAAACAACCUUCAAAAUUCAAUAUAGUCACUUUGAAUUCCUAAUAUGUUAUUUGGUGUUACCAACGCCCCAACAGCUUUCAUGGACUUGAUGAAUCGAGUGUUUAAGUAGUACUUGGACAUGUUCAUUAUAGUCUUCAUCAAUGACAUUCUUGUCUAUUCCUGUAGCAAAAAUAAUCAUGCAGACCACCUCAAAAUCAUACUUCAGACUUUCAGAGCCCAUCAGUUGUUCACCAAAUUUAGUAAGUGUGAAUUUUGGCUAAGGUUAGUAACAUUCCUUGGUCAUAUUAUUUCUAGUGAUGACAUUAGAGUUGAUCCUCAAAAGAUCAAGGUAGUGAGAAACUCGCCUAAACCCAUUUCUCCAUCAGAUAUUAGGAGCUUCUUGGGUUUAGCUAGCUAUUACUAUCAGUUUGUUGAAGGGUUUUCAUCUAUCGCAUCCCUUAUAUCCAAAUUGACUCAAAAAAAAUUCAAGUUUCAGUGGUCAGAUUCUUGCGAGAAGAGUUUUCAAGAGUUAAAGACUCGACUCAUGUAAGCCCUAGUUUUGACUCUACCAGAUAGUUCAGAAGGGUUUGUUGUGUACAGUGAUACAUCUAGAGUAGGUUUGGAUUAUGUCCUCAUGCAGAAAGGUAAGGUCAUAGCUAAUGCCUCUAGAAAUCUUAAGCCCCAUGAGAAGAAUUAUCCUACCCAUGAUCUUGAGUUAGAAACUGUAUUGUUUGCCUUAAAGAUUUGGAGGCAUUAUUUGUAUGGGGUGCAUGUUGAUAUGGUCACAGAUCACAAAAUCUUACAGUAUGUGUUGUCUCAGAAAGAUUUAAAUCUACACCAAAGAAGGUGGUUAGAGUUAUUGAAAGAUUAUGAAAUUAGUGUUCUGUACCAUUUGAUCAAGGCCAAUGUAGUGGCCGAUGUUCUUAGUAGGUUUUAUAUGGGUAGUGUUGCUCGUGUUGAGAACUGUAAGAAGAAGUUAGCUCAAGAAGUUCAUCAACUUACUCGACUAGUUGUCCUCUUAGUCGAUUCAGCAGACAAUAAUGUAUGGGUGCAAAAUAGUUCAGAAUCAUCUCUAGUUUCUAAAGUGAAAGAAAAGUAGGAUAGGGAUCCCAGUCUAGUUAAGUUGAAAGAGUCAGUUAGAGAUUAGAAAAUAGAGGUUUUCUCCCAAGGGGGAGAUAGUGUGUUGCGCUUCCAGGGUCGGCUAUGUGUGCCAGGUAUAGAUGACUUGAGGCAAUGAAUUCUUUCAGAAGCAUAUAGUACGUGUUACUCAAUUCAUCUAGGGGACACUAAGAUGUACCGCGAUUUGAGGAAGAUUUAUUGGUGGAGUGGGAUAAAGAGAGAUGUUACAGAGUUUGUAGCUAUGUGCUAUACUUGUCAGUAAGUUAAGACUGAGCACCAAAAACCUAGUGGGUCCAUACAGGAGUUCAGUAUUCCCACAUGGAAAUGGGAAGAAGUAAAUAUGGACUUUGUGACGGGUUUGCCUUGAACUCGUCGUUAGCAUGAUUCUAUAUAGCUAUUGUAGAUAGAAUGACCAAAUCAGCUCAUUUCUUUCUAGUUCAUACCUCUUAUUCAGCCAAGGACUAUGCCAAACUCUAUAUCAGAGAGUUAGUCAAGUUACACGGAGUCCCUGUUUACCUCUUAUUUUUGGAAAGCAUUCCAAAAGGAUCUUGGUACCCAAGUCCACCUCAGUAUAACUUUUCCCCCUCGGAUAGAUGGUUAAGCAAAAAGGACCAUUCAGACUCUAUAAGAUAUGUUAAGAUCAUGCGUUGUUAAUUUUAAAUGUAGUUGGGAUUACUACUUGCCUUUGAUUGAAUUUGCUAUAAUAACAACUAUCAUUCAAGUAUUUAGAUGGCUAUGUUUGAAGCUCUUUAUGGUAGGAGAUGUAGAUCUCCAAUUGGUUGGUUCAAGGUAGGUGAGGCCGCAGUGGUCAGACUUGACUUAGUGUUUGAUGCCUUAGAGAAGAUUCAGUUGAUCAGAGAAAAACUUAGGGCAGCCCAAAGCCGAUAAAAAUCAUAUGCAGAUAUGAGGAGAAAAGAUCUUGAGUUUGAGAUUGGUGAUUUUGUGUACUUAAAAGUCUCUCCCAUGAAGGGAGUAAAGUGGUUUGGAAAGAAGGGAAAGAUCAGUCCUCGAUAUGUCGGUCCGUAUAGAAUUCUCAGCUAUUUUGGAAGGGUAGCUUACGAGCUUGAGUUGCCUUCAGCUCUAGCUUUAGUGCACCCAGUAUUCUACCUCUCCUUGUUAAAGAAAUGCAUUGCUGACCCAACAGUCAUAGUUCCCUUAGAGGGAGUAGAUAUUCAGAAUGGUCUCUUUUUCCAAGAGGUUUCAAUCUAGAUCCUCGAUCAUCAGAUUCACAGACUGAGGAACAAAGAAGUUCCCUUGGUCAAAGUUCUUUGGCGAAAUCAGUCCAUUGAGGGAGCUACUUGGGAAGCAGAAGUAGAUAUGCGGACCAAAUAUCCUCACAUCUUCUCCACAAAUCUAGACACAACUUAAGGUAAUAGUAUUCCUUAUUUUUGCUUAGUUACAUGUUCAGUUACAGUUAUAAACUUGGUAUUUCUUACCAUUGCGUAUUCAUUCAUGCAUUCAUGAAUCAGUUCAGCCAUGUACUCAUGCACCAGAUAUGCAUGUUUAGCAUGAAAACUCAGCUUAUCAGUAGCUUCAAUCAUGUAUGACAUACAUCAAAUAUGCAUGUUCAGUAUAUAAACUCAGUCCAUCAGUAUUUCUCAGCUUAAUCAGUCUUAUUCGAGGACAAAAUUUCCCAAGGGGGAGAUAUUGUAAUACCUUGUAUUUCCCUAACUUAAUUUAAAUAUAAGUACAUGAGUUAUCCUAUAUAAAUUUUUCUAAAUACUCAGUAUUUUUUAGUUUAUAGCUUACCACUGCGUAGGAAAUUUAGUUAGCUUUCAAUGAUAUAAAGUUCGCCCAAAUCCGACAUUCGGACGAAGAGUUAUAACAUAUUUUGUAAAACAAUGUGCCAAUUUGGCAAUCAGUGCCUCAUGGAGGCAGUCCAAAUAGCAAUUUUCAUUUUCCAGUGUUCCAUCGUGAUCCCAUCGCAUCGCGCCACCACCAAUUUUCCUAAUUGUCACUUUACAGUGUGAUUCUGCGAUCAUGGAGUAUCGCGUCAAGCGGUAAAUUUGCAUACAGUGAAGCUCUGCAAUUGUACGACAUCCCGCCAAGCUCCCUAUUCCCAAUUGUCAAUUUCCAGUGACACAGUGCAAUAGCGCCGCGUUGUGCCAUGAGGCCUUUUUUGGAAAAUUUUUAUGGAAAUUAAAGUUUCAUCCAGGGUUAAACUAGUCUUUUCCAUGAUUUUGGUACGCCCAGAUAUGGGAUUUAAUCCCUAAAAACAUUUUAAACCCAUUCUUUAUUAAUUUUUCCCCAAUAUCAACAACUUUUCUCUCAAUUAGCAAACCCCAAUCUUCAAGAAAUGAAGAGCAAUCCUCAAGAAAAUCACCAAGAGCUUCAAGAAUUAAAAUACCUAGGUAUUUUAGGUGUUCAUCAAUGGUUUCCUUUCAUCCAUAGAGUCCUAGAAUCCAUUUUAAAACUACCAGAUUAUUGAUUCAUGAGAUUGAAUCAUGAUUAAUCCAUUUUAAUCCAUAUUCAUGAAAUUAAUUAUUUUUCAAUCCAUGAUUAAUUGUAGAAUCCAUGAAAUUGAAAUAGCAUAUAUAUUGAAUUUUGUAAUUCCCAUCUUAUAAUCCUUGAAUUAGCAAGUUUGGGUGUGGUAGUUACAAUGUUUACAUGUUGUCUAUGAUUUAAUGCAUUAAGUUGUGCUCCCCAUGUGUUUGAUGGAAUGUCCAUGUGACUUAAAUGUUAAAAUCAUGACAUGCUAGCAUAUGUAUAAGCUUAUACCCUACAAGUGUUUGAUAAAAGAUCUCUAUGAAUGAAUUAUGAACAAGUGGACAAUGUUAUGCUUUUCAAGAUCAUGCUAUGCUUUACUUUUCAUGCUAUCGAGUCUUGGAGGUAUUUAAUACCCAACAAUCUAGCUAUUUACCUAUAGUUACAGUAAUUACAGAUUAUUCUUAGUCAUGUCAUGAAAUAGUAGUACUCAGUCAGUUACAGAACUCAAUAAGCUCAAUUCAGUUCAGUCAGUCAGUCUACACGAUCAGUAAUAGUUCAUUCAAAAUCCAAUACAGUCUAGCAAUGUAACGCCCUAAGUCUAGUACCCUGGAUGCUACACGGUGCUAAUAAUACUAAAGGACCACUAGCUAACCCAUGACUGAUAUCUGUAACUGAGCACUAGAUAAUAGUAAUAUUGAAAUAAUAAUAUAACUGAAAUAAAUGCGGAAAUCUGGCGAAAAACUUGCCAUAAGGUUCAAAUACAAAACAAUACUAAAUAAAAUAAUGUGUGAACAAGGUAUGAUAAUACCAAGACUGAAAUAACUGUUUGAUCAUGCUAUAGUCUGAAAGCCUCUAAACUGUCUGAACUGCAGAGUUGAUGGGACACAUCCCCAACUAAAUCCAUCUAAUGAAAAUAACUAAGUACAUAACUACUAAAAGAAUGAAAUAAUCAUGUCCUUGGAAUAUGAGGACUCACUACUGACUUUGACUGCUAAUAUCUGAGCUGCUAAGCGCGAUUUAGAACCUUAGCAUCUGAACCUAUGGUAUAAAAUACCAUAGCGCAAAAGAAAAGUAUGCGUCAGUACGUGAGAAUGUACUGGUACGUAAAGUGAGGUAAGGAUGAAUUCAAGGGUUCAUAUGCAUGAACUACACUGACUGAAUAACAUAAACAUGACUACGUGAGGAUACAUGCAUGAAUACAUAACUAUAACUAAAAUCAUAAGAAUUCUAAAUACUGAGUUUUCUAAUAACAUGGAUUACUAAUAACUGAUAUAACUAAUAACUGAGUGACUGUUUCUGACAGUCCUGAUUCUAAUAGAACUAGCGGAGUUCCAUACUAAGUUUAGUGGCUAUAUCUAACAGUCGAAAAAAUCUAUAGAAUUAUCUGAGUUAUUUACUGAAGAUUGAGACUGAGACUAUGGGACGUAGUCAUCUAACUGAUAUGCCCCAAAUAAGGUAUUAUAACUGAGUUGGGGUUCAAUCUGUAACCCCAAUUAGAAGGGUAUCAAUACCGCGCCAUUGGUAAGGACAAGUUUUAAGUGACCCUCAUCUAUUAAGUACCCUAACAAGAAUGGUGGGACCCUCACCUAACAGGUUAAGCUACCUUAUCAACCCUCAUCUAGUAGGUUAGAUGUCUCAACCUACGCUAUCUGUGUAGUUCUAGAAUGCAAGGAUUGCUUCUAAGAAUCACACUCUCUGUUAUCAGGUGAGUUCCCAUCCUUGGGUUCACUCGGUGCUGAAUCCUACGCCCAUUUGAAUAGACACUGAACUAAGUAUAUCAGACAUAACUGGACUUAGUUCAUUGAAUUUCUUUGAUUGACAGAAUAUUACUAAAUUCUGAUAACUGACUGAGCUACUGAGGAUUGAACUGAAUACUACUGAGUUUUUCCUAAGUUCUGAGAUUGAAUGAAUUCUAUUAAUCGUGGCUUGACUGAGAUUAUCUUGAAAACUGACACUGGCUCUAGGCAGACAGCUAAAUUGUUGGGUAUUAAAUACCCCCAGGACUCGAUAACAUAAAAAUAAAUGGGACAUGACACUUCUUGAACACAUGACCACAGUCAACAAUUCAUAUACUAUCAUUGAGGGAUUUCAUGAAACAUUGCAAGUCAUGAGCUUACACAUUAAUAGGAACGCAUGCUAAUAUAUCAUAAUUUCACAAAUCCAUACUUAUGUGCAUUCCACCAAAUCAUUACAAGAGAUAGAUAUAGCAUGAGAGUCAAUUUGAACAUGUGGGUACAUCAUAAGUUCAUCAUAUAGCUCACAAAUAGGUCAUAAUGCACAAUUCUUAUUCAUUUAGGCAUUUUAACAAACACUUGGAACGCAUAACCUUUUCUAGGGCUUGAAUCAACAAUUAAUACAUCAUGUUCAUACCAAGCACUUCAAAUUUAAGGAUUUCAAUGCACAUACUAGCAUGAAUUCAUGAGAAUUCAAUAAAGAUUCAAUCUUGGAAAUCAUAUCACAACAUAAACAUGUGUAUAAUCAAACCCACAGUAUGGAAUUCAAAAUUCAUAUUUUGUAAAGGAUUUCUUGAGUUCAAAGGGUGAAAGGGACACUUGGAUGAACACUUUACAUACCUUGGUUGACAAAUUUCUUAAAGAUUAAUGAAAGAAAACUUAAUCACCUAGGGUUUCUUGUUGUUGAGCACUUGUGAAAUAAUGAAUGUAUUUAUCCUAAAAAGGGCUAAAUUUCAUGUUAUAAAGGUUGAAGGUCAGGGGAAAAUAACCUGAUUACCCUUAAGGAGGUGAUCAUUUAAUGACAAAAACUGGGCACUAACGCAUUUGGCGAUGUGGUGCAUCGAUGGUAUCAAUGCGAUACUCGAAGCAUCAUGCCAUGAUCGUGCCAUGUCUCAAUACUUUUGACUGGCAACCUGGAACAAUAUUAACCAAUGCGAUGGGUGACAUGGCACACCAAGAUUGUAUUGGUACACUAUUUUAGACUUCCAAAUAUGGUCUAAAUGAGGUCCGAAAAAUUUGAAACUUGUCCGGGAAUACCUAUUGACCUUCCUGAUCAUGAAUUAACAAAAAUAUAGACCCUUAAAGGAUAUUAAGGUCGUGAAAUGAGAUUGCCAACUUUCAAAGGCUAAGAAAUAAACUAAGUCUGGAAACUUAGCUUGAAUUUUUCUAAGUCUAGGUCCCCUUGACAAGCUUAAAGGACUGAAUUAAGCAAGGAAUUUCAUGGGGUCUUACAAUAUCUCCCCCUUGGGAACAUUUGUCCUCGAAUGAGACUGACUAAGAUGGAAGAAAUAAUAAGCUGAAGCACAUACUGAACAUGAACAACUGGAACAUGAUUACAUGACUGACAUUACUGAUUUACUAAGAUUCAUACUGAGCAUGCAUAUCUGAUGAAUAAUUUCAUGACUGAUCUAAUACAUGAAUGAAUGACUAGGUGUAGUGAUAAACUGAUCAUGCAUAUCUGAUGGAUAAAUACAUGACUAAACUGAUUCCUGAACAUACGACUGAACAUGUAAUGGUAAAAGAUACCAAGUUUGAAAUAGAAAACUGAGCAUGAAACUGAAUACUAAGUUUGUAACUAAAAUCUGAACAUGAAAUAAAAUAAGCUUAAGGAAAGCUAUUACCUUGGGCUGAGUAUGAAUUUAUGGAGAAGAGGUGAGGAUACUUGGUUUGCAUGUAUACUUUUUCUUCCUAAGGAGCUACCUCAACGGACUGAUUCAGACAAAGAACUUUAAGUAGAAAGUCUUCUUUGUUACUCAGUCUACGGGUCUGAUAGUCAAGAAUUUUGACUGAAACUUCUUCGUAAGAGAGACUGUGUUGAAUAUCUAUGCCCUCAAUAGGGACUACUAAUGCUGGGUCACAUAUGCACUUCUUAAGCAAGGAGACAUGGAAUAAUGGAUGACUAAAGCUAGAUCUGAAGGUAACUCGAGCUCAUAAGCUACUUUACUAAAGAGACUGAGAAUCUUGAAGGGACCAACAUAUCAGGGACUGAGCUUUCCCUUAUUAUCGAACCUCUUCACUCCCUUCAUGGGAGAGAUUUUCAGGUAUAUAUAAUUACCAAUAUUGAACUUGAGAUCCUUUCUACGUAUAUCUGCAUAUGAUUUCUAUCGGCUCUGAACUAUCUUUACUAAAUUGGGAUCUAUAUCCUACUUUUCCUUUACCUUGAAAACUAGAAAUGAUUCUGAACUAGUCUGUAUCCAUAUACCACCUUCUGCCAAAUCGACUAACCGAACACCUAGUCUGGCUAACUGAUGAACUUCCUGAGAUAACUUUUUCUUACUAUCCUCAACAUGAGCAACACUACCCAUAGACAAUCUACUGAGAGCAUUAGCCACUAGAUGAUAAAGGACAUUCAUGUCAUAAUCCUUCAAGAGCUCUAACCAUCUUCUCUGACAGAGAUUAAGAUAUUUUUGUAAGAACAUAUACUAGAGGCUUUUUUUAUUCUGUGAACACAUCUACAUGCACCCAAUACAAGUAGUGUCGUAGUGCCUCCAAAUUUUUAUGGCAAAGACUACUGCUGCUAACUCAAGAUCAUGAGUCGGAUAAUUCUUCUCAUGGGGCUUAAGCUGUCUGGAGGUGUAGGCUAUGACCUUACCACGAUGCAUAAGUACAUAACCCAAACCUGCCCUAGAUGCAUCACAGUACAUGACAUACCCAUCUAAACAUAGGGGAUGUAAUAGACAAAAAUCCUAAAACUCUUCUCGUAUGAAUCUGACCACUGGAACUUGACUUUUUUCUGAGUCAAUCUGGACAUAAAGGAUGCAGUAGACGAAAAUCCCUCAAAAAAUCAUCUGUAACAUCCAUUCAAACCCUAGAAAUUCCUGAUAUCUGAUGGAGUGAUGAGUCUAGUCUAAUUUCUUACUGCCUUGGUGUUUUGAGAAUCAACUCUAAUGUCAUCACCAGAAAUAAUAUGACAAAGAAAUGCUACUGACUUUAGCCAAAAUUUGCACUUAUUGAAUUUGGCGAAUAAUUGAUGAUUUUUGAGAAUCUGCAAUACUAUUCUGAGAUGGUCUGCAUGAUUAUGCUUACUACAAGAAUAGACAAGAAUAUCAUCUAUGAAGACUAUGACGAACAUGUCCAAGUACUGCUUGAACACACGGUUUAUCAAGUCCAUAAAAGCUGCUGGAGCAUUGGUAAGACCAAAUGACACGACUAAGAAAUCAAAGUGAUCAUACCAAGUUCAAAAGGACAUUUUUGAAACGUCACAUUCUCUGACUCUGAGCUGAUGAUCGCCUAAUAUAAGGUCUAUCUUAGAGAAAUAACUGGCACCCUGGAGUUGGUCAAACAAGUCAUUGAUUCUGGAAAGUGGAUACUUAUUCUUGACUGUGACCUUAUUGAGUUGAUGAUAGUCUAUGCACAUUCUGAAAGAACCAUCUUUCUUGUGUAUGAAUAGAAUAGGUGCACCCCAUGGAGACACACUGGGUCUGAUGAAUCCCUUAUCUAGGAGAUCCUUUAAUAUCUCUUUUAAUUCUCUGAGUUCUGCUGGUGCUAUUUUGUAUGGCUGAAUUGAUAUGUGCUGAGUAUCUGAAAGAAAAUUGAUACCGAAGUUUAUUUCCCUUUCGAGAGAAAUUUUGGGAAGAUCCUCUGGAAACAAAUCUGAAUAUUCAUUCACUACUGGGACUGAUUCAAGACUGGGAGUUUUAGAACUAGAGUCUUUAACUCAAACAAGAUGAUAGACACAUCCCUUAGAUAUCAUUUUUCUUGCCCUUAGGUAGGUAACAAGCUGCCCCUGAAGGCUGAAGUAUUACCCCUCCACUCUCAGAUAAGUUCAUUCAAAAACUAUAACUAAUAACUCUAUUUCUAUAUUCGACUGUGGAAUACCAGGAAUAAAGCCAAUCCAUACCAAAGAAGACAUCAAAAUCAGUCAUCUCUAAUUCAACUAAGUCUGUUGAAGUGACUUUUUGAGAUACCAAAAUCGACUAGUUCCUGUAUACCCGUGGGGCUAUGAUAGUUUUACCCACAGGGGUAGAGACUAAGAAGGGCUCUGCUAGAAUUUUGGGACUAACUCCAAAAUCAACUGCUAUAUAAGGAGUAACAAAAGACAAGAAAGCUCCUAGAUUUAGUAAAGCAUAAAUAUAUAUAUGAAAGAUCUCUAACAUACCAGUGAAAACAUCAGGAGAAUUCUCCUAGUCCUAUCGGGACAGAAGAGCAUAAAGUUUAUUUGGGAAUUUCCCACUGGUAGCGCUGGAAGUGGCACCCUGCUGGUUCGAGCGACCAAACUGAGCUGAGAAACGGUUAGGCUGACCCUCAAAACCUGACUUAGGACAAUCUCUGAAUCUAUGUCCUGGCUUACUCAUCCUAAACAAAUAUCACUACCAGCUUUGCAAAUACCCUGAUGGUGUUUGCCAUAAGUCUGCCAAAGAGGAUGAGUUCGGGCACUGCUAAUACUGCUCUGAGACUUAGAGCCUGGAGCCCUAUCUUCGUUACCAUUCUUGAACUUAGGAACUAGCUGAGAAAGGAGAUGGAAGUGAGGACUUUGGGCAUAACUAAUAAUGAUUCCCACCCUUUGACUUAGGCUGACCAAAAUUAAAGCUACCUAUUUUAGCUCUCUUAUUCUAUUUUUCUCUUUCCUUAUUCUUCUGCUCCUCUAUCUGCUGAGCAUAGAUCAUGAGCCUAGCCAAGUCCAUCUCACUAAUCAACAUCACAGUCCUGUACUCUUUGACCACACCAUCAUUCACUCCAGACACAAACUUACUCAUUCGAGAUCUGAUAUCUGCCACCACAUAAGGAGAGUAUCUAGCUAGUUGAGUAAACUUAAGAGAAUACUCUUUCACUGUCAUAUUGCCCUGCCUGAGGUUAAUAAAUUCUAACACCUUAGCUUCUCUCAGCUCUAGGGAAAAGAAUCUAUCUAGAAAAGCGGUGGCAAACUCCUCUCAAUCAAUACACCCUGUAUUUAUAGCCCUCUUUGAUUUCCACUAAUUGAACCAAGUGUGAUCCAUAUCCUACAACUGAUAUGCAGCUAGCUCAGCACUCUAGAUAGUAGUCACUCCCAUAAUAUCAGUAAUCUUCUGUACCUAAUCAAGAUAAUCUUAAGGGUCCUUAGCUAUUUUAGACUUGGAAAAAAUGAAGGAUUCAUUUGGGUAAAGUUUCGAAUCCUAGUUGUAGCAGAAUUAGCCACUGGGUUAGCCAAAAUGAUAGUUGAAGAUUAGUUCUAGGCCACAACUGAAUGAGAAAGAGUAGUGAAUGCAGCUCUGAAUUCUGCAUGGGAGACAUGUUCGCCUAAAGGAUUAGACUGAUCGGGUUGAAGGGUUGGCUGAUCUCCUAUUCCUCUUCCCUGAGUCCUCUUUGGAGGUAUUUUUUCUAUAGAUGGAGGAGAAAGAAGAAUUAGACUGAGAGUUUAACCAGAGCUCAUACUCACACAUACAAUAUGAAUACUAAAAGAAAGGAAACUAUUUCUAAAACAUCUCAUAGCCUCCUGUACUUAAAUAUGGUGCACUACACACCCAUGCAUAAGACUCUACUAGAUGCGGAUUUCAGAAUUCCUAGGAUUCUAUUGAAUCUUAGGCUCUGAUACCAAGUUUGUAACGCCCUGAGUCAGAACCUCGGAUGCUACACGGUGCUAACAAUCCCAAAGAACCACUAGCUAACCUAUGACUGAUAUCUGCAACUGAGCACUAGAUAAUAGUAAUAUUGUAAUAACAAUAUAACUGAAAUAAAUAUGGAAAUCUGGCGAAAAACUUUCCAUAAGGUUCAAAUACAAAAUAAUACUGAAUAAAACAACUUCUACACAAGUUAUGAUAAUACCAAGACUAAAAUAUCUAUCUGAUCAUGGUAUGCCUGAAAGCCUCUAAACUGUCUGAACUACGAAGUUAAUGGGGCAUGUCCCUAACUAGGUCCAUCUUCUGAAAAUAACUAAGCAUUGAAAUACUAAAAUAAUGAAAUAAUUAUGUCCUCAGAAUAUGAGGACUCACCACUGACUCUGACUACUGAUAUCUGAGCUGCUAAGAGUGAUCAAGAACCUGAAUGUCCGAACCUAUGGUAUAAAACACCAUAGCGCAAGAGAAAAGUAUGCAUCAAUACAUAAGAAUUUACUGGUACGCAAAGUGAGGUAAGGCUAAAUGCAAGGGUUCAUAUGCAUAAACUACACUAACUGAAUAACAUGAACAUGACUAUGUAAGGAUAUAUGCAUAAAUACAUAAUUAUAACUGAAAUCAUAAGGAUUCUAAAUACUGAGUUUACUGAUAACAUGGAUUACUGAUAACUGAUAUAACGGAUAACUGAGUGACUCUGUCUGAUAGUCCUGAUUUUAAUGUAACAAGCUGAGUUUCAUAGUAAGAUGAGUGACUAUAUUACCCAGUCUUGAAAUCUAUAGAACUAUCUGAGUUCUUUACUGAAGACAGAGAUAAAGACUGUGGGAGGUAGUCAUCUAACCGACAUGCCCCAAAUAAGGUAUUAUAAUUGAGUUGGGGUCCAAUCUGUAACCCCAAUUGGAAGGGUGUCAAUACCGCUCCACUGGUAAGGACAAGCUAUGAGUGACCCUCAUCUAUCGGGUGCCCUAACGAGAAUGGCGGGACCCUCAUCUAACAGGUUAAGACAGCUUAUCAACCCUCAUCUAGCAGGUUAGAUAUCUCAACCUAUGCUAGCUACAAAGUUUUAGAAUGCAAGGAUUACUUCUAAGAAUCACACCCUCUGCUAUCAGGUGAGUUUCCAUCCUUGGGUUCACUCGAUGCUGAAUCCUACUCCCAUCUGAAUAGACACUAAAUUGAGUAUACUGAACUGAACUGGACUGAUUAUACUAAGUUCUAUUGACUGAUGGAAUAUUAUUAAAUUCUGAUAACAGACUGAGCUACUGAGGACUGAACUGAAUACUACUGAGUUUUUCCUAAGUUCUAAGAUUGACUGAAUUCUAUUGAUCUUGGCUUGACUGAGAAUAUCUUAAAAACUGACACUGGCUCUAGGCACACAGCUAAAUUGUCUCAUAUUAAAUACCCACAGGACUGAUAGCAUGAAAAUAAAUGGGACAUGACAUGUCUUGAUCACAUGACCAUAAUCAACAAUUCUUAAUACUAUCAUUGAGGAAUUUUAUGAAGCAUUGUAAAUCAUGAGCUUACACAUGAAUAAGAAUGCAUGCUAACAAAUCAUAAUUUCACAAAUCCAUACUUAUUACACCAAAUCAUUACAAGAUAUAGCUAUAGCAUGAGAGUCAAUUUAAAAUGUGGGUACAUCAUAAAUUCAUCAUAUAGCUCACAAAUAGGUCAUAAGGCACAAUUCUUAUUCACUUAGGCAUUUUAACAAACACAUGGAAGGCAUAACCUUUUCUAGGGCAUGAAUAAAAAACUAAUACAUCAUGGACAUAUCAAGCACUUCAAAUUUAAGGAUUUCAAUCCACAUAUUAAUAUAAAGUCAUGAGAAUUCAAUAAAUAUUCAAUCUUGGAAAUCAUAUCACAACAUAAACAUGUGUACAAUAAAACCCACAACAUGGAAUUCAAAAUUCAUCUUUUGAAAAGGGUUUCUUGAUCUCCAAGGGUGAAAGGGACCCUUGGAUGAACAUUUUACAUACCUGGGUUGACAAAUUUGUUGAAGAUUAAUGGAAGAAAGCUUAAGUUCUUGAAUUGAAAUUAAUCACUUAGGGUUUCUUGCUCUUGAGCACUUGUGAAAUAAUGAAUGUAUUUAGCCAAAAGAAUGCUAAGUUUUGUGUUAUAACGGCUAAAGGUCACAGAAAAUGACCUGAUUACCCUUAAGGACGCGGUCAUUUAAUGACUAAAACUUGGGACUAGCACGUUUGGUAAUGCGGUACAUCGAUGGCAUUGAUGUGAUACUCGAUGCGUCAUGCCAUAAUCACGCCAUGUCUCAGUGUUUUUGACUGGCAACUUAGAACAAUAUUAACCAAUGCAAUGGGUGACACGGCAUGCCAAGAUCGCACUGUUCAACUAGUUUGGACUUCCAAAUGUGGUCUAAACUUGGUCUGAAAAAUCCAAAACUUGUUCGGGAACACCUAUUGACCUUCCUAACCAUGAAUUAACAAAAAUAUUUACCCUUAAAGGACAUUAAGGUUGCGAACUAAGAUUGCCAACUUUCCAAGGCUAAAAAAUAAACUAAGUCUAGAAACCUAGCUAGAAUUUUUCCAAGUCUAGGACCCCUUGAUAAGCUUAAAGUACUAAAUUAAGCUAGGAAUUUUUUGGGGUCUUACAAGCAAUCAGUCUAUGGUCUAUUCAACUGGGAGUAGGAUUCAACACUGAGUGAACCCAAAGAUGGGGUCUCACUUGCCAGUAAAGGGUGUGAUCCUUAUAAGCAGUCCUUGCAUUCCAAAACUACAUAGCCAGCAUAUGUUGAUACAUCAACCUGCUAGUUGAGGGUUGAUGAGGUGUUUUAAACUACUAGUUGUAGGUUUCACCGUUCUCAUUAGAGUACCUACCAGAUGAGGGUAACUCCUUAUCUUGUCUUUACCCAUGGCACGAUAGUAAUACCUUUCCAAAUAGGGUUACAGGUUGGACCCCAGUUAUCGUAUUUGGGGUAUGUCGGUUAGAUGAAUACCUCUCACAGUCUCAGUUUCAGUCCCAGUAUAGAACUCAGUAUAGUUCUAUAGAAUUAGGAUUGUUAGAUACAGUUACUCAGCUAUCAAUAAUUCAGUUAUCAGUAAUCUCAAAUAUCAAUUACUAAGUUAUCAGAAAUCAGUACUUAGCUUUAGUAAAAGCUCAGAUACAGUAUACACGUAUAUACACAUUAUUGCCUACACAGUAUUUACAGCAGUUUCAGUUAUCCAUGUACUCUUAUAUUCAGUUACUCUAUAUUAUUUAGCCAGUUAUUGUUCAUAUAUAUGAACUCUUGCAUUCAGCUUUACCUCAUCUAGCAUACUAGUGCAUUCCAUGUAUUGCCUCAUACUCUUUCUUUGUGAUAUGAUGUCUCAUAUCAUACAUUCAGACGCUCAGGUUCCUAACCAUGCAUACACAUAUUUAAUUAUCAGUAGCAAUUUCAGUAAUGAGUCCUCAUCUAUUGAGGAUAUGCAUUGACUUUAGUAUUUUCAGUAGCUUCAGCAUUUCAGUAGUCGGAGUUAGUUGGGGGCUUAUCCCAUCAAAUCCAUAUUCAGACAGUUCAGUUAGAGGCUUUUCAGACUAGACUAGUUCAGGCAGCAUUCAGAUUCAAAUGUUUUAUCAAAUACUAUUAUUUAUCAGUAUUCAGAUUAUGAACCUUAUGGUAUUUUAACCUAUUAUUCUAUAUUAUUUUAGUAUUAUUAUUCAGUGCUCAUAGUAGGUACCAGUCAUGGGUUAGCUUGUGGUCUUUUGGGGUCGUAAGCACCGCGUGUUAUCUGGGGUACAGACUCGAGGUAUUAUAGAAGUGAUGGUUCAGAAAGAUGCACCCUUUCAUAAAGGUGCAACUUUUCAAAAAAGUCACAACCCUCUGGAAAGGUCAUAACAAUCCAAUCCGAAAGGUGCCAAUUUAAAUUACAUCCUUUCUCUAAGUGUCUUUUCAAAAAAAACACCUAUUCAUUUUUCAUUCACACCUAUUGAAAAUCCAACACAUAUUACUUUCCCCAUUGUAAAAUUAUACACAUACAUAAGAUAGAAUCAAUAAACGAAAAAGGUACUUAUAUACCCCUAAACUUUAAUAAAUGGUACAAAUAUACCCUCUGUCAUACUUUGGGUACAAAUAUACCCUUGUCAUUAAUGAAUAGGUACAAAUAUACCCUUACACUUUAAUAAAUGGUACAAACAUAUCCUCCAUCAUACUUUGGGUACAAAUAUACCCUUUUUGUUAAUGAAAACUUACAAAUAUACCCUUCUUAUUAACUGCGGGACAUAUGUUAGCAUCGUAUUAGUUGGCCCUUUUUAAUCUAUUUUAUCUAUGAAUAAUUUCAUUCAUCCUAAAUUAUUACCCAUAUUCAAUCCAAAUAACUCGAUCUAACCUUGUGAUUUAAUGAGGACCUUGGUUUGGCCAUGGAAUGUCCAAACUUUGCAAGUUUUUUUUAUGUUUCUGUUCUUAAAUUUCUCUCUUUGAAGUUGCUGAGCAAUGGUGUAACAAUGAGUUUAAAGCAUGUAACAACAACCAUGAAUCAAAAACAGUUUUUAAUUCUUCGACGUUCAUAAAUCAGAAAAAACAAACAACAAUUAUUCAUGAGGACAUUAGACAACAUCAAAAUAUUAAUCUAACAUCAGAAUAUUAAACAACAUCACAAUAUUAAACAAAUCUCUACUCGAUUCCUGAUGGUAGAUAAUCAAAACAUGAAUCAAACCGAUGUAUUUGUUAGGGGUUUUUGGGUUAUUAAGAGUGUAUGAGUGUAAGAGAAUGGAAGAAAGAAAUUAGUGUGACUAAAGAUGCAUGAUAUGUCUCUUGAAGCUUCUUUAUUACACGGGUUGGGUCGGAUCGGGUUAUUUGGGUCGGGUAUGAGUUAUAAUUUAGGAUAGAUUAAAUUAUUCAUAAAUAAAAUAAAUUUAAAAGGUCCAACCAAUACAAUGCUGACAUGUGUACCAUCAUUAAUGAGAAGGGCAUAUUUGUAUUUCAUUAAUGAAGAGGGUAUAUUUUUACCCAACAUAUGAUGGAGGGUAUAUUUAUACCAUUUAUUAAAGGUAUAGGGUAUAUUUGUACCUUUUCAUUAACGACAAGGGUAUAUUUGUACCCAAAGUAUGACAGAGGUUAUAUUUGUACCAUUUAUUAAAGUUCAAGGGUAUAUUUGUACCUUUUCAUUAACGACAAGGGUAUAUUUGUACCCAAAGUAUGACAGAGGUUAUAUUUGUACCAUUUAUUAAAGUUCAAGGGUAUAUUUGUACCUUUUCAUUAACGACAAGGGUAUAUUUGUACCCAAAGUAUGACAGAGGUUAUAUUUGUACCAUUUAUUAAAGUUCAAGGGUAUAUUUGUACCUUUUUCGAUCAAUAAAUAUUGAACAAGUAAAUUGAUAAUUAUGAUUUUCAAAGACUAAGCACUCGCAUCUCGUAUAUGAACAAUAUCAAUCAAUCACUCCAUUUCAAAUCUCAUUAUAUCACCAUAUCAUAAAACAAUAGUCAUUUGUUCCUCAUGAAACAUCAAUAGGUUCAUCAACUAAUAAGGUGAAAUAAUCACAAUUUCAUUCCUCAAUAAUAGCUUUGAUGGUUUCUAUAUUACAUGCUGCCACAACAUCUUUUUGAAUCAUUGGAUAAGUAAUUUGGUAAUUCCAAGGAGCACGUUCUAACACAUCAUCAUAAAUUUUAUCACAAUGCUUCACAUAUCAUGAGAGAAUUUCAAGAAAAUUACCCUGUUAGAUUCAUCGUGACCUCGAAAAGCAAAAUUCUUAUUAUAUCAAUUGAAGUAGACAAAUGAAGUCAAUACUCAUGCUUAAAUUGAUUAGAUUAUUUUUUAACGCAGAUAAAUAGAUUUUUUUGUUGCACCAACUCUUCACUUUUCUUUUUACUUGAUUAUAAAUGUUAUUAGGCCCACCAAUAUAUUGUUUAAAACUACCCAUCUUAUUCAGCUAUUAAAUCAUAUUUUUAAAAAUAAUUCACCUUCAUAUUGAUAAAUAUUAUCAUCUUUAAAUAAAUCACAAUAUAAAUAAUAUGCGGCACUCUUCUUAUACUAUACUCCAAUUAGUCAUGAUACUCUUUAAAUCAUUCCGAAUUAAAACAACACAUAUCUCCAUAAAUGUUUAUUUGGGGAAAGAUAUAAUUAUUAGUUGACAAAGACCUUCCCAAAUGUAUGUUCUCCUACUUUCAUCACGAUCAUUUAGAUAAUAGUCUAAGACUAAUUUUCUUUGGUCAGAUCAAACUCUAAAGAAUCUAAAUCGACUUCUUGUUUUUGAGAAAAAUAUAAUCAGUCCAAAUAAGUUGAUUAUGAGAGAUCAAACUAUAUUAUGGUACUUUGAAAAAAUACUUCUUCAAUUACGUUUGAGAUGAAAUUAUACAAUAAAAAUUUAGUUAGAAAUAUAUCUAACAAAACUUUGUUAACUAAUAUUUUGAUUACUAGUUUUGCAACAAAAGAGAGAAUUUAGAGAUCUAACCAACAAAAAAAUGUAAAUAAAAAUUAGAGGAUAAAGAAAAAAAUAAACUUACCAAUGUAACAGACAACAACUAAAGACCUACAAAGAUGAAUGGAUGGCAAGUGAAAUGAUGAACGACGGACGUUCGCGACGAUUGAUGGUAAGUAGUGACUGACAGGAGAAAAUAGAAGGAAAGGUGUCUUUUAAGUCUAGAAUGACGGAUUGGUGACAUUGACCAACUUAAAGGGUCAAACAUAAUUAAGAAACUUGAUUUAGUUAAUUAUGAACUUGGUUAAUAUUUUCAAAAUUUUCUAAUCUUUCAAAAAUACAAAACAACCCACACCCUUCUCCUCUCCAAAUUAAUCGUCUUUCUCCCCACUCGCUCCACCAGUUUCUCUCAAACUUCUCCCAACCAACAAUUUUGUAAAUUUCUUCCUUUAAUCCCCAGUGACUUAAACCUCCGAUGACAAAUAGUUUCGAGUUUCUUUUCGACUUUCAACCAUCAAUCAGCGUGACAAUAUUCUCCAGUGAUAAUAACUUUGAGUUCUUCAUCAGCCCUUUUCGACUUUCACAGGUAAAAAAUAUUUUUAAUUAUGAAUAAAAAGAGAAAUUUGAGUCAACUACUUUUCUAGUAUUGAUUAAAAAUUUUAAUAUUUGUUACGUAAAUUUGAAAUAGAGACUCAAGAAAAUCCUAAUUUGUGGUAUUUAUUCUCUUCUCUUUUUAAAGUGAAAUAUGAUUUUUUUGUUGUUACUGUAGUUCUUGUUCUCAAACUGUUGAUUCGAUUUGUUGGUGUUUAUUGUAUUUUUUGUCCUAUGUUUUUUUGAUGUUUGUGUUUUUACAAACAAAAAAACAAUAUUGGUGUUGUUGGUUAAUGUUGAUGUUCUUAUUGGUAUGUUGUGUUGUGUUGCUGGGUUGAUUUGUUGUUUGUGGGUUGUUGUUGUUCUUGGUAAAAAUGGUGUAUUGAUAUUAAAUAGUGAUAUUGUUAUUGUUCUAUUGAAUAAAAUAUUACAACUGGUUUGUUUGUUUUCAAUAGAUGAACCAUCUAUUGCAUCAAAUAAACCAUCUGUUGCAAUAGAUAAACCAUCUGUUAUAUUAGAUAAACCAUCUUUUACAACAAAUGAACCAUCUGUUGGAUAAAAUUCUAAUAGCUAUUCAAAUAGAUGACCCGUGUAAGACUUUAAUUUCUUCCAACAAAUUAUUUAUCUUGUAACGCCCAGAAUCUAGUACCCGAAAUGCUACACGAUGCUCAUGAGCCCGAAGGACCACAAGCUAACCCAUGACUGAUUACUGUACCUGUAAACUACAUAACAUACUGAAUAUAAUGCGGAAAUAGAGUCUAAAAGGCCAUAAGGUUCAAACUACAUAACUGAUAAAAUAUAAUAUUUGUGUGGGGUAAUAGAAUACCCAAGCCUGAAAUACUGUCUGAACAUACUGUAGUUUGAAAAGCCUCUAAAACAUGACUGUAUGGAUAAGGAGUUGAUGGGACAUAUCCCUAACUAACUCUGACUACUGAAAUAACUAAGUACUAAAAUAAUGAAAUAACAAAUCAUAUCAUCCUCGAAGAAUGAGGACUCACUGCUGACUGAUGAUGAUAUAUGGAAUCUACUGAUGCUAUGGAGCUCGUGUCUCUGAACCUAUGGUAUAAAACACCAUAGCGCGAAUGCGUCAUUACAAUUGAAUGUACUGGUUGCAAAUUAGGUAGGCUGGAUUCAUGGGGUUCAUAUGCAUAAACAAUACUGACUAACUACCUAACAUAAACGUGAGUACACAUAUAUGGAUACAUAGUAACUAUAUCUAAGAUCGUGAUAACAUAAAUUUUACUGAUAACUAACAUGAAUGAUGACUAGUUUUGAUGACUGAUAUUACUGAUAACAUGAGUGAUUGUAUCUGAUAGUCUUGAAUCUGAAGGAACUAGCUGAGUUUCAUACUGUAGCUGAGUUGACUGUAUCUGACAAUCCUAGAAUCUGAAGAACUAUUUGAAUUCUUUGAAACUAUGGGAGGUAGUCAUCUAACUGACAUGCCCCAAAUGACGUAUUAUAGCUGAAUUGGAGUCUAAUCUGUGCCCUGAUUGGAAGGGUGCCAAUACCACACUAUUGGUAAGGGAAACAUAUGAGUGACCCUCAACUAGCAGAUUACUCUAAUGAGAACGGUGGGAACCCUUGACUAGUAGGUUAAGCCACCUUAUUUACCCUCAAAUAACAGGUAUGAUGUCUUCACCUACGCUGGCUACAUAGUUGUGGAAAGAAAGAAUUGCUUCUAAGAAUCACACCCUCUACUGGCAGGUGAGUUCCCAUCCUUGGGUGCACUCGGUGCUAAUUCAUACUCCCAUCUAAAUAGACACUGAACAUGAUUAAUUGAACUGGACUAAACUUAAUUCAUGAAGUUCUAUUGUCUGAUGGAAUACUACUGAGAUUACUAAAUUACUGAGCUUUCCUGAGUUACAUAACUGACUGAGUUCUAUGGAUCUUGCCUCGACUGAAGAUAUCAUGAAAACAUGACACUGGCCCUACGCACACAACUAUAUCUUUUGGGUAUAAGUACCCUCAGGACUCGAUAGAAGGAUACUGAAAAAGCAUGACUUUCUUGAAUACAUGACUCACAUUAACUAUACAUAGGAUGAUAAGUUGGGGAUUUUAUGAAGUACAUGGUUAUCAUAUUAUCUAACAUGAACGAGAAUGCUUUUAAUCAUAUCAUAAUCUCAUGUUCUAAUAUCAUGGGCAGUCCGACAAUAUAUAUAUUUCACAAUGAUAUCAUGGAAACCAUUUAAACAUAAGAAGAUGACAAGCAUGUCACAUUUAGUUCAGGUUUGAGCUAUAAGGCAUAAUUUCUGUUCUUUCAAGUAUUUUAACAAACACCUUGCAUGCAGAAUUUUGGGCAUAGGUAAAAUUAUCAAAUUUCACAUCAUAAGCAACUUAAUUCAUGGGUUUUAUCUUGCAUGCUAACUUAAUAUUAUGAAAAACACAUAAAGAUUUAAACUUUGAAUUAAUUAACAUCAACAUCAUGGUUACAAAUAACCCACAACAUAAAUACCAUGAUUUAUAGAUAAAACAAGGUUCUUGAGCUUUAUGGAUGAAAGGAAUCCAUGAAUCAACACAACGCAUACCUUGUUUCAUAAAUACACAAAGAUUAACGGAGGAAAUUCUUGAUUUUGAAUCUUCUAUGAAAAGCCCUAAGUUGUUCUUCAGAAGUUUUUGAGAGAAGAGUGUAUAUUUUGGUGUAAAUAGGGCUUAAUCCCAUUUUUUUACUUAUAUAGAGGUGUGGAAAAUGACAACUUUGCCCUAAAAUGCUGAACUGGAUGCUGAAAAUUUUGGCAGCAUACGAUGGAGCGUGCGUCGUAUGCUCUAGUCCACUGCACUGGAGCAUGUGUUACAUGCUCUAUCUCAUGCUAAGACCAGUGAGAUGGCCAUGAGAUGCAUGAUAAUCGCAUGGUGCUACUGUUUCAAAUUCCAAACAUGCCCUAAAUAGAUUCUAAAAAUUCUAAAACUCACCUGAAACGUACUAUUGACUUGUCCCAUCAUAACGCUACUUGAAAAUUGAAAAACGAAGGUCGAGAAGGUCAUCAAAUAAAUCCCCGAAGUUUGAAGGCUCAAAUGAGACUAAGUUUUGAACACUUAGCUAACAUAUUCUAAGUGAUGGACCUUGCAAAGCUUAAGGAGAUGAAUUUUAGACUUAGAAUUUUAUGGGGUCUUACAAUAUCUCCCCCUUGGAAACAUUCAACCUCGAAUAAAGACUGACUAAGAGGGGGACGAAGAUCACUAAGGUGAAUAUAGAGCAUACACUACUGAAAACAUGAGAUCUUGACUGACAUAACUGAUAAUCUAAACCCAUCAUACUGAGCAUGCAUAUCUAAUGCAUGACUGAUAAGCUGAAUUCAUACAUAUCUGAUGUAUGGAUAUCUGAUUCAUGAAUGCAUAACUGAGUGUUCUUAUGAACUAAGUUUCUCGUAAUGAGAAUUCAUGUCUGAUGCAUAAUUACAUAACUGAACUAAUACGUGAAUACAUGACUGAAUAUGCAAUGGUACUCAGUACCAAGUUUGUAUUGGACUUAAACAUAAAACUGAAUAAGCUUAAGGAAAACUGUUACCUUGAGCUGAGUCUGAGUUAGUAGAGAAAAGGUGAUGGUACUUGGUGCACAUGUAUGCUUCUGAUUUCCAAGUAUCUCCCUCAACGGACUGAUUCCAACAAAGAACUUUGACUAGAGAGACUUCUUUAUUCCUCAGUCUAUGAGUCUGAUAGUCUAGGAUUUUGACUGGAAUCUCUUCAUAAGAGAGGUUGCUCUGAAUAUCUACGCUCUGAAUAGGCACUAUAAAUGUUGGUUCACCUACUAAAUUCUUGAGAAAAGAGACAUGGAAGACUGGAUGAACUGAGGCUAGACCUGAAGGCAACUCAAGCUCAUAAGCUACUUUGCCGAAGUGAGUAAGAAUCUUGAAGGGACUGAUAUAUCGGGGACUGAGCUUUCCCUUCUUUUAGCUCUGAGCAUCCCGAAGUCUAUCUCUGAUCAACUAGACUUUUUCUAACUCAUUGAAUACCAAGUCAGGCCCUAUGACUGAGGCCCUACUAACUUUGAACCAACUGACUGGAGAUCUGCAUCUCCCACCAUAGAGAGCUUUGAAUGAGGCCACAUGAAUACUGGAAGGAUAGUUUUUGUUGUAUGCAAACUCAAUCAAAGGCAAGUGGUCAUCCCAACUUUCCUUGAAAUCAAUUGUACACGAACAUAGCAUAUCUUUCAAAGUUUGAAUGGUCCUUUUUGCUUGAUUAUCCGUCUGAGGACGAAAGGCUGUACUGAAAUAAACUUGGGUACCAAGACCCUUUUGGAAUGAUUUCCAGAAGUGAGAGGUAAACUGGGUACCUCGAUAUGAGAUUAUAGAUAAUGGAACACCGUGUAAUCUAACCAACUCCCUGAUGUAGAGUUUGGCAUAAUCCUCAGCUAAGUAAGAGGUAUGAACUAGAAUAAAAUGAGCUGACUUGGUCUUCCUAUCUACAAUGACCCAAACCAAAUCAUGCUGACAACGAGUUCGAGGCAAACCCAUCAUGAAGUCCAUGUUCAAUUUAUCAUACUUAUAAGUAGGAAUAAUUAACUUCUGCAUAUGACCACCAGGCUUCUGAUGCUCUAUAUUAACCUGCUGACAUGUAAAGCACAUAGCCACAAACUCUGCAACAUAUCUCUUCAUCCUACUCCACCAAUAGAUUUCCCGUAAGUCACGGUAUAUCUUUGUCGCCCCUAGAUUAAUAGAGUAGCGUGCACCAUGCACUUCUGUAAGAAUUCGCUGCCUUAAGUCAAUUACACCUGGAACACAGAGACGGCCCUGAUAAUGUAAAACACCAUAUCCCCCUUAGGAUAAAACCUCUACUUUCUGAUCCUUGACUGACUCUUUCAACUUGACAAGGCUGGGAUCUCUAUCUUUCUUUUUUUUCACCUCAAAAACUAGAGAUAAUUUUGAACUACCCUAGACCCAUAUGUUGCCCUCCUCUUUAUCGACUAAGCGAACGCCUAGUCUGGCAAGCUGAUGGACUUCCUGAGUUAGCUUUUUUUUACUAUCCUCAACAUGAGCAACACUACCCAUAGAUAGUCUACUGAUAGCGUCAGCCACAAUAUUGGCCUUGCUUGAAUGAUAAAUGACACUCAUGUCAUAAUCUUUCAAGAGCUCUAACCACCUUCUCUGAUGAAGAUUGAGAUCUUUCUAAGAAAAAACAUACUAGAGAAUCUUAUGAUCUAUGAACACAUCUACAUGGAUGCCAUAUAGAUAAUGCCUCCAAAUUUUCAGGGAAAAUACUAUGGUUGUUAACUCCAGAUCAUGACUAGGAUAAUUCUUCUCAUAGGGCUUUAACUGUUUGGAGGCAUACGCUAUGACCUUACCAUGUUGUAAGAGGACACGACCCAAACCUACUCUGGAUGCAUCAUAAUACACCACGAACCCAUCUAUACCAUCUAGAAGAGCUAAGACUGGAGCUAAGGUGAGUUGACUCUUCAACUCCUGAAAACUCUUCUCGCAAGGAUAUGACCACUGAAACUUGACUUUCUUCUGAGUCAAUCUGGACAUAGGGGAUGCAAUAGAUAAAAAUACUUCAACAAACCAUCUAUAAUAACCAUUCAAACCCAAAAAACUCCUGAUAUCUAAUGGAGAGAUAGGUCUGGGCCAGUUUCUUACUACUUUAGUCUUUUGAGGAUCUACUUGAAUGUCAUCACCGGAAAUGAUAUGGCCAAGAAAUGCUACUGACCUUAGACAAAACUCGCAUUUACUGAAUUUGGUGAAUAGCUAAUGAUCUCUAAGAGUCUGAAGUACUGUCCUGAGAUGUUCUACAUGAUCACUCUCACUGCGGGAAUAGACAAGGAUGUCAUCCAUGACUAUAUGUCCAAGUGCUGCUUGAACACAUAGUUCAUCAAGUCCAUGAAAGCUGUUGGGGUUUUUGUAAGACCAAAGGACAUGACUAGGAACUCAAAGUGACCAUACCGAGUAUGAAAAGUUGUCUUUGAAAUGUCACAUUCUCUAACUCUAAGAUGAUCAUAGCCGAAUCUAAGGUCUAUCUUAGAGAAAUAGCUGGUACCCUAAAGUUGGUCAAACAAGUCAUCGAUUUUGGGAAGAGGAUACUUGUUCUUGAUCAUUACUUUAUUAAGUUGACAGUAAUCAAUGCACAUUCUGAGAGAACCAUCUUUCUUGUUCACGAAUAAGAUUGGUGCACCCCACGGGGACACACUGGGUCUGAUGAACCCUUUAUCUAGGAGGUCCUUCAACUACUCUUUCAAUUCUCUGAGUUUUACUGGUGCUAUUCUAUAUGGCAGAAUAGAUAUAGGCUGAGUAUCUGGAAGAAGAUUAAUGUCAAUGUCUAUUUCCCUUUCGGGAGGAAUUCUUAGAAGAUAUUUGGGAAAGAUAUCUGAAUAUUCAUUUACAACUAUCACUGAAUCAAGGCUGGGAUUUUCAGAACUAGAGUCCUUGACAUAAACAGGAUGAUAGACACAUCCCUUAGAUAUCAUUUUCCAUGCUCGAAUGUAGGAAACAAGCUGACCUCUGGAAGCUAAAAUACUACCCCUCCACUCUAUGAUGGGUUCAUUCGAGAACUUGAACUGGACUAUUCUAUUUUUGCAGUCGAUUGUGGUAUAGCAGGAAUCCAGGUUAAGAAUGACAUCAAAAUCAGUCAUCUCUAAUUUGACUAAGUCUGUUGUAGUGACUUACUAAAAUAUCAUAAUAGGCCAGUUCCUAUAUACCUACCGAGCUAUGAUGGUUUUACCCACUGAGGUAGAGAUGGAAAAUGGCUCUACUAGAAUUUUUGGACUGACUCCAAUAUCAACUGCUAUAUAGGGAGUAACAAAAGACAAAGAAGCUCCUGGAUCUAGCAAAGUGUAAAUAUGCACAUAAAAGAUCUGUAAUGUACCAAUAACCACAUCAGGAGAAUUUUCCUGAUCUUGCCGGGACUGGAGAGCAUAAAGUCUGUUUGGGCGCUGCCCACUAGUAGCACUGGAAGUGGCAGCCUGGGGAUUUGGGCGACUGGAUUGAGCUGAGGAACAAUUCUGAUGACCUUGAGAACCUGGCUGAGGACAGUCCCUAACUCUGUGGCUUGGCUUCCCACACCCAAAAUAAGUAUCACUGUCAGCUCUGUAAGUACCCUAAUGUUUUUUGCCACAAGUCUGACAAAGAGGAUUGGUGCGGGCACUGCUAACACUGCCUUGAGACUUAGAGCCUGGUGCUCUAUCUCUGUUGCCAUCUUUGAAUUUCGACACCAGAGCAAUAGCUAAAGAAAGAGCUGGAGCUGAUAAGUUAGGAAAAAACUGAGAACGAUUUCCUCCUUCUGAUUUGGGCUGAGCAAAGUUGAAACUACCUAUCCUUGCUCUCUUAUUCUGCUUCUCGCUCAUCUUAAUCUUCUUCUCUUAUAUCUGCUGAGCAUGAGUCAUGACCCUAGCUAUAGUCAUAUCACUAUUCAACAUUGCAGACCUGCAGUCAUUCACCACACUAUCCUUUACCCCUGAAACAAACUUACUCAUCUUGGCCUUGCUAUCUGCAACCAUAUGAGGGGAAUAUCUGGAUAAUUGAGUGAACUUAAGAGACUACUCUUUCACCGUCAUGUUUCCCUUCCUGAGGUUGAUAAAUUCUAACACCUUAGCUUCUCUCAACUCUAGGGGAAAGAAUCUAUCAAAGAAUACAGUGACAAACUACUCCCACUCAAUAAGCCCUGCAUCAUCUAGCCUUUCUGACUUCCACUACUUGUACCAAGUAUGAGCAACAUCCUGUAACUGGUAUGCAGCUAAUUCAGCACUCUAAGUAGGAGUAACCCCCAUGAUGUCUGUAACCUUCUGAACCUGAUCGAUGAAUUCCUGAUAGUCCUCAUCUAUCUUAGACCUGAGAAAGGAUGGAGGAUUUAUUUGGGUAAAUUCUCGAAUCCUAGAUGCAGUUGAAUUGACCACUGGGUUGGCUAGAACGACAGCUAGUCAUUCAUUCUGAGCAGCAAAGGACUGAGAAAGAGUAGUGAAUGUAGUUAUGAACUCUGCAUGAGAAACAUGUUCAUCCAAGAGAUCUUCUUGGACAAGUUGGUUUCUUCUCAUGGGAGGCAUAUUUUGAAAUAAAGAGAAAAAAUAGAUUAGACUAAGAGAUUGACUUGAUAUUAUGCUCACAGGCACGAUUACUGAAAGAAGGGAAACUGUUCCUAAACAUCUCGUAGCCUCAUGCACAUAAAUAUGGCAUGCAACACACCCAUGUAUAAUACUUUACUAGAUGCAACUUUCAGACUUUCUAGGACUCGAUUGAACCUUAGGCUCUGAUACCAAGUUUGUAACGCCCCUGAAUCUGGUACCCAAAAUGCUACAUGGUGCUCAUGACCCCAAAGGACCACAAGCUAACCCAUGACUAAUAUCUGUACUUGUACACUGCAUAACAUACUGAAUAUAAUGCAGAAAUAGAGACUGAAAAGCCACAAGGUUCAAAUUGCAUAACUGAUAAAAUAUAACAUCUGUGUGGGGUAAUAGAAUACGCAAAACUGAAAUACUAUUUGAACAUAUUGUAGUCUAAAAAUCCUCUAAAACAUGACUAUCUGGAUAAGGAGUUGAUGGGACAUGUCUCCAACUAACUCCGACUACUGAAAUAACUAAGUAUUGAAAUAAUGAAAUAACAAAUCAUAUUAUCCUCAAAGGAUGAGGAUUCACUGCUGACUGAAUAUUGAUAUCUGGAAUCUACUGAUGCUCUGGAGCUCGUGUCUCUAAACCUAUAGUAUAAAACACCAUAGCGCGAAUGCGUCAGUACGAUUGAAUGUAUUAGUAUGUAAAUAAGGUAGGCUGGAUGCAUGGAGUUCAUAUGCAUGAACAAUACUGACUAACUACCUAACAUGAAUGUCAGAACACAUGCAUGGAUAUAUAGUAACUAUAUCUGAGAUCGUGAUAACAUGAACUUUACUAAUAACUAACACGACUGAUAACUGAGUUCUGAUAAUUGAUAUAACUAAUAAUAUGAGUGACUGUAUCUAGCAGUCCUGAAUCUGAAAGAACUAUCUGAGUUUCAUACUAUAGCUAAGUUGACUGUAUCUGACAGUCCUAAAAUCUGAAAAACUAUCUGAGUUCUAUUACUGAGACUAAUAUUGAAACUAUGGGAGGUAGUCAUCUAACCGACAUGCCCCAAAUGAUGCAUUAUAGCUAAAUUAGGGUCUAAUCUAUGCCCUGAUUGAAAGGGUGCCAAUACUGCCACUGGUAAGAGGAAUAUGUGAGUGACCCUCAACUAUCAGAUUACUCUAAUAAGAAUGAUAGGAACCCUCGACUAGUAGGUUAAGCCACCUUAUCUACCCUCAACUAGAAGGUAUGAUGUCUCUACCUAUGCUGGCUACAUAGUUAUGGAAUACAAGGAUUACUUCUAAGAAUCACACCCUCUACUGGCAGGUGAGUUCCCAUUCUUGGGUUCACUCGGUGAUAAUUCCUACUCCCAUCUAAAUAGACACUGAACAUGAUUAAUUGAACUGGACUAAACUUAAUUCAUGAAGUUUCAUUGUUUGAUGAAAUACUACUGAUAUUACUUAAUUACUGAGCUUUCCUGAGUCACAUGAUUGACUGAGUUCAAUGGAUAAUGCCUCAGCUGAGGAUAUAUUGAAAACAUGACACUGGUUCUAGGCGCACAACUAUAUAUUUUGGGUACGAGUACCCCCAGGACUCGAUGGAAGGAGACUGACAAAGCAUGACUUUCUUGAAUACAUGACUCACAUUAACCAUACAUAGGAUGAUAAGGUGGGGAUUUCAUGAAUUACAUGGUUAUCAUAUUAUCUAACAUGAACGAGAAUGCUUUUAAUCAUAUCAUAAUCUCAUGUUCUAAUAUCAUGGGUAUUCCAACAAUAUAUACAUUUCACAAUGAUAGCAUGGAAACCAUUUAAACAUAAGAAGAUGACAAGCAUGUCACAUUUAGUUCAGGUUUGAGCUAUAAGGCAUAAUUUCUAUUCUUUCAAGCAUUUUAACAAACACCUUGCAUGCAGAUUUUUGGGCAUAGGUGAAAUCAUCAAAUUUUACAUCAUAAUCAACUUAAUUCAUGGGUUUUAUCUUGUAUGCUAACUUAAUAUUAUGAAAAACGCAUAAAGAUUCUUACUUUGAAAUCAAUUAACAUCAACAACAUGGUUACAAAUAACCCACAACACAAAUACCAUAAUUUAUAGAUAAAAUAAGGUUCUUGAGCUUAUGGAUGAAAGGAAUCCAUGAAACACAAUGCAUACCUUGGUUUAUAAAUAUACAAAGAUUAAUGGAGGAAAUUCUUGAUUUGAAUCUUCUAUGAAAAGCCUUAGGUUGUUCUUGAGAGGUUUUUGAGAGAAGUGAGUAUAUGGAUUCCAAAAAUUUUGAAAUGCCUGGGACAUACUAUUGACUUGCCCUAUCAUAACGUAACUUGAAAAUCAAAAAACGAAGGUCGGAAAGAUCAUCAAAUUGAUCUCCGAAGUUCGAAGGCUAAAAUGAGACUAAGUGUUGAAUACUUAGCUAAAAUAUUCUAAGUGAUGGACCUUGUAAAGCUUAAAGAUCUGAAUUUUAGACUUAGAAUUUUAUGGGGUCUUACAUAUCUAUUGCAACAAAUGACAUAUCUAUUAGAAGAAAUCUAAAUAAUUUGACAAUAGUUCCAAUAGAUCACUCAUCUACUGCAAUAGAUGAAUCAUAUGUUACAUAAAUCAAUCAUCUAUUUCAACACAUGAGUGAUUUAUUGGAAGAAAUCACAACAGUAUUAAAACAAUUUUUAUUGUUUCCAACAGAUUAAUUUGUUGGAAUUAUUUUAUUUUACUAUGUUGUACUUGUUAGAUCUGCUGUUAUCCUUUCUUUAACAAUGCAUUAACAAUUAUAAUCUUUUUUAUUUUCUCUUAUUUUUAGAUAAUAUGGCUUCCAAAAGAAAAUAAAGCGAACCAAGUCCAAGUAAAGGAAUAAGUGAAGCAGCUAGACUACAUCCACCACUCUAUGAACUUAUUGUACAAGCGAUAUCUCAAUCAAAAGCAGAAAAAAAUGAACAUGAGGAAGAGGAAAGUUUCAAAAGAGAUGAUCCAAAUGGUAA